CACCAGGACGAAGAGAAACGUCUAUUUUUCUUUUAGUUUGCCGGACAUCUGGUUUUAGAAGGAACCUUAUUCUGAUUUCAGUUCUUGUUUUCAUUAUUUGCUCUGCUAGAGGAACAAAAAAAAACGCCUUGCAUUUCGAGUUUCCCUUUAUGAUUUUCUUGUUUCAGAGUUGUGAUCUUACCCUUCCUUUUGUGUUUACUCCACUUCUAAUUUCCUAGAUUGAAAAGACAAAUAUUUUAUAAGCCGAGUCUCAUUUACCAGAUUUAUUGCGUUCGUACUUGGCUUAGUGUUGAUGCUUAUUCUUAACUAAGGUUAACUAAGUCAGUUGCAAAACCUUUCAUGUCUUCCAUGAAUUGGAGCAACAAGUCGGAGUCUAAAUACUCGAUCUAGAUGGGUAGAGGGCCUUACUCUGUGUUGGAAAAGAAACAAUAUGAGAACAGAGGUCUAAGCAAGAGUGUGCUACAUCCUUUUUCAUCAAAUCAUCUUCUUGUAUCUUUGUGAUUAGAGUCACUGGACCAUUUUCUCUAUAUCAAAUACAUAUCGGUGAUUUCUUAGAUAAACCUCUGGAUUUCUGAUCUAGUAAGAAGAUCAAGGCAACAUACCGGAUCGGAGUUGUUAAAAGCAGUUGCAUAACAAGACAGCAAGCUUGGAUCAAAGCAGCUUCGGUGCAUCUCAAUUCUAAAGUACAGAUUGCAACUAUUUGUUUAAGACGAAUUUGCAUUCAUGGGCACUCCAAGUCUGUUUGUUUAAGUCAAGAUUUUUGUAGGGGAAUCAAGCUUGAUCCUUAACGACCGAAAGCGAUAAGUCAACUGUAAGCAACGAAAGAGGAGCAACCAGCUGAAUUCAUAUCAAAACAAUUCGGGUGUUCAUAAGGCAGCAUGGAGGUUUUGUCUGCAAUCGUAUCGGGGUUUGUAACAAGACUUGCCGAAGCCGCAAUUGCACCAGUUGGACGCCAAGUAGGAUAUGUGAUUCAAUACCACAACAAUCUUCAUAAUCUAAGGACAAAACUGCGGAGCAUAUAAGACCGCAGGCGACAUGUCCUUGAUGUGAACAAGGUGACAAAGGAAGUGGAUGAGCUCACUGGAGAGGUAGACACGUUCUUGGGAGAUGAAGGCCAUGCAAAGACCAAGUGUUUCCACGGGUUUUGUCCUAAUCCGAUUCUCUAUUAUCAGCUGAGCAAGAAAGCAAAGAAAUUGGUGCAGAAGAUUGAACCCUAUGAAAAUGUCGACUUUCCCCCACAAGAGAUAUAUUC